UAAUACAGAGGUCUCAAGCGUUAAUCGGAGUCACUGGGCUUAAAGGGUGCGUAGGCGGCGCCGCAAGUGUCUUGUGAAAUCCCACGGCUCAACCGUGGAAUGGCUCGAUAGACUGCGGUGCUUGAGGUUGGUAGGGGUCGCUGGAACUCUAGGUGGAGCGGUGAAAUGCGUAGAUAUCUAGAGGAACGCCAAAGGUGAAGACAGGCGACUGGGCCAAUUCUGACGCUGAGGCACGAAAGCGUGGGUAGCGAACGGGAUUAGAUACCCCGGUAGUCCACGCCCUAAACGAUGUGCACUAGAUUGUGGAGGCUCUGACGCCGCCACGGUCGAAGCUAAAGUGAUAAGUGCACCGCCUGGGGAGUACGGUCGCAAGGCUA
rnacentral:rRNA from 1 species